GAUUGUGAGGACUCCCCAGCCAUGUGGAACUGUAACCACCGAUCAGAUCAAGAAACAGAACACCCAGAAGCUUUUUUCCUCAUCCUUCCAGUAACUUCUCCACCUCAACCAGGAGUAAACACCAUCUUGACUUCCUACAUUACAGAUUAGUUUUGCCUGAUUUUGAACCUGAAAUAAAUAAUAGUAUACACUA